rnacentral:rRNA from 1 species
GACGAACGCUGGCGGCGUGCCUAAUACAUGCAAGUUGAGCGAUGAAGUUUGGUGCUUGCACCAAUUUGAAGAGCAGCGAACGGGUGAGUAACGCGUGGGGAAUCUGCCCUUGAGCGGGGGACAACAUUUGGAAACGAAUGCUAACACCGCAUAACAACUUUAAACAUAAGUUUUAAGUUUGAAAGAUGCAAUUGCAUCACUCAAAGAUGAUCCCGCGUUGUAUUAGCUAGUUGGUGAGGUAAAGGCUCACCAAGGCGAUGAUACAUAGCCGACCUGAGAGGGUGAUCGGCCACAUUGGGACUGGGACACGGCCCAAACGCCUACGGGAGGCAGCAGUAGGGAAUCUUCGGCAAUGGACGAAAGUCUGACCGAGCAACGCCGCGUGAGUGAAGAAGGUUUUCGGAUCGUAAAAAUCUGUUGGUAGAGAAGAACGUUGGUGAGAGUGGAAAGCUCAUAAAGUGACGGUAACUACACAGAAAGGGACGGCUAACUACGUG